UACGAGGGGUGCAAGCGUUGUUCGGAAUUACUGGGCGUAAAGCGUGCGUAGGCGGUUUGUUAAGUCCGUUGUGAAAGCCCUGGGCUCAACCUGGGAAUUGCAGUGGAUACUGGCGAGCUAGAGUGCGGUAGAGGAUGGUGGAAUUCCCGGUGUAGCGGUGAAAUGCGUAGAGAUCGGGAGGAACACCCGUGGCGAAGGCGGCCAUCUGGACCAGCACUGACGCUGAGGCACGAAAGCGUGGGGAGCAAACAGG
rnacentral:rRNA from 1 species